rnacentral:rRNA from 1 species
UACGUAGGGUGCGAGCGUUGUCCGGAAUUACUGGGCGUAAAGGGCGCGUAGGCGGCCUGCUAAGUCGGACGUGAAAUCCCUCGGCUCAACCGAGGAACUGCGUCCGAUACUGGUGGGCUUGAAUCCGGGAGAGGGAUGUGGAAUUCCAGGUGUAGCGGUGAAAUGCGUAGAUAUCUGGAGGAACACCGGUGGCGAAGGCGGCAUCCUGGACCGGUGUUGACGCUGAGGCGCGAAAGCUAGGGGAGCAAACGGG